AACGAACGCUGGCGGCAUGCCUAACACAUGCAAGUCGAACGAGACCUUCGGGAGUGGUGGCGCACGGGUGCGUCAAGUGUGGGAACCUGCCCUUAGGUUCCGAAUACCUCCCCGAAAGGGGUGCUAACACCGGGUAAUGUAUUCGGACCACAGAUUCAUCGUAUUUGGAUGGGCAGGCGUUGGUUUAGCCAGUUGGUAGUGUAAAAGCCUACGAAGGCGAGGAUAGAUAGCUGGUCUGAGACGGAGAUCAGCCACUCUGGGAGGGGGACACGGCCGAGACUCCUACGGGAGGGAGGAGUGGGUAAUACAGGACAACGGGCGAAAUCCUGAUCCAGCACUGCUGCUAGAGUCAUUUAGUCCUUAGGGUUGUGAAGCUCUUUUACCCCGGAUGAUAAUGACGGUACCGAGAGAAUAAGCACCGGCUAACUUCGUG
rnacentral:rRNA from 1 species